GUUAGUGAUUUUACCAGGAACAAGCUAUCCCAUGUUAUCUGAUUUUACUGUCCAUUUGGUUUGACAUUUGAUGUCUAAUGAUGUUGUUGUGGCUACAAACAUCACUGAUUUACACUGAAAAGGGACGGAAAUUAAGCACAGCAUAGCCUAUAAUACAUCUUUAGGUUCUCAGGUAAUCCUCUAGAACAGAAUUGGUUUCACAAGCUUCAACACUCAACCUGUUCAACUGCAUCGGUCCUUACAGAAUGCUGAAGCCACCAAACAAAGCAUCGGGGAGUGGCUUUCCGGUUGGCGGUGACGUCGGGUUCGGGGACCGCCACCGAUGGAACUGGGGGUGCCUAAGCCAGCUUGUCCGGCUGUCACACUCUAGCUGGCUCGAGAGGUUUCUUGCCCCAGUUGGCUCAGAAGUCGCCCUUUCCACGUCAGGCCUCAGCUGGCUCGUCAGGCUACUCCGCCUCCGCCGGAUCAUCGGGCACCCAGGCCUCAGUGGGAUCGACAGGCC
ensembl:lncRNA